rnacentral:RNase_P_RNA from 1 species
CGGGACCGUCGCGCGGGUUUACUCACGCUCGAUGGUCAUGAGGAAAGUCCGGGCUCCAGAGGGCAGGAAGCCGGCUAACGGCCGGGCGGGGUGACCCGACGGAAAGCGCCGCAGAAAAGAAGACUCCCGCUGCCCGCCUUGGCGGGUGAGAGAAAAGCUGAAACGGUGGUGUAAGAGACCACCAGCAUCCUGGCAACAGGGUGGCUUGGCAAGCCCCUUCCGGAGCAAACGCGAAUAGGAGCGCCAUGGUGUGGCCCGCACCGCGCUCGGGUUGCGCGCUCGAGGCCAAUGGCGACAUUGGUCGUAGAUAAAUGAUCGUCCACGACAGAACCCGGCUUACCGGCCCACUUU